GAUCAUGGCUCAGGAUGAACGCUGGCGGCGUGCUUAACACAUGCAAGUCGAACGAAGCACUUCAUAAAGUUUACUUUAAGAAGUGACUUAGUGGCGGACGGGUGAGUAACGCGUGGGUAACCUGCCUUACACAGGGGGAUAACAGUUAGAAAUGACUGCUAAUACCGCAUAAAACAGCAGAGUCGCAUGACUCAACUGUCAAAGAUUUAUCGGUGUAAGAUGGACCCGCGUCUGAUUAG
rnacentral:rRNA from 1 species